rnacentral:rRNA from 1 species
UACGGGAGGCAGCAGUGGGGAAUAUUGCACAAUGGGCGCAAGCCUGAUGCAGCCAUGCCGCGUGUAUGAAGAAGGCCUUCGGGUUGUAAAGUACUUUCAGUCGUGAGGAAGGUGUUAAGGUUAAUAACCUUAGCAAUUGACGUUAGCGACAGAAGAAGCACCGGCUAACUCCGUGCCAGCAGCCGCGGUAAUACGGAGGGUGCGAGCGUUAAUCGGAAUUACUGGGCGUAAAGGGCACGCAGGCGGUUAAUUAAGUUGGAUGUGAAAUCCCCGGGCUUAACCUGGGAAUGGCAUUCAAGACUGGUUAGCUAGAGUCUUGUAGAGGGGGUAGAAUUCCAUGUGUAGCGGUGAAAUGCGUAGAGAUGUGGAGGAAUACCGGUGGGCGAAGGCGGCCCCUGGGACAAAGACUGACGCUCAUGUGCGAAAGCGUGGGGAGCAAACGAGGGAUUAGAUACC